GGGUCUUGUACAUUGGAAUGAGUACAAUUUAAAUCCCUUAACGAGGAACAAUUGGAGGGCAAAGUCUAGGGUGCCAGCAGCCGGGUAAUUCCAGCUCCAAUAGCGUAUAUUAAAGUUGUUGCAGUUAAAAAGCUCGUAGUUGCAACCUUGGGCCUGGCUGGCCGGGUCCGCCUCACCGCGUGCAACUGGUCCG
rnacentral:rRNA from 1 species